rnacentral:lncRNA from 1 species
AUGUACCAGAGCUUCAGAUAUCUGAGGACAGCCAUUCUAUGCCCCCUCAGUCUUCUCUUUUUUGGGUUCGAUCUCCUCGAUUCUGUUUCAACCAUUUCUUAUGUGUCAUGUUUUCCAGAUGUUGACCAUCUUAGCUGCCCUUUUUCACACCUUCCCAAGCAAAGGCCUCUGAAAGUGUGCUGCCCAGAACUGGACCUGAUCCUGACCAGGGAAGGGGGGCUCCCCAUCGCCUACACAAUAGAGUCCCAACUCCUCCACUUGGCAUGCAACGACCUGCAGGACUGCACUUCGGCCACCCCUCUUCUGGGCUCUCAGCACCACGUGCCCAUCCUGCGACCGAACACGUCCCACUGUAGUGUGAUUAGAUGUGUAUGUGUCGGCCUCGCCCCCUUGGCUGUGAGACCCUCCAGGCCAGGUGCUGUCUCUUUCAGAUCUGAUCUCCAGCACCUGACACGGGAAAUGCUUACUCCCUAAAUGAAUGUAUAAUAUAAAAAAUCUUCCUUUUUUUCCUGAGGAAGAUUUGCCGUGAGCUAACACCUGUUGCCAAUCUACCUCUUUUUUUUUGACUGAGGAAGACUAGCCCUGAGCUAACAUCUGUGGCCAUCUUCCUCUGUUGUGUAUGUGGGUGACCUCCACAGCAUGGCUGAUGACAACAUGGCUGACAAGUGAUGUAGGUCUGUGCCCGGGAUCCAAACCCACAAUCCCAGGCUGCCGAAGUGGAGGGGGGUGAACUUAACCACUAGGCCAUGGGGCCAGCCUGCUAAAACAUAAUUUUUAUGCCCUGCCUUAUUCCAGAUGGGACUUGAGAUAGAAAAUGAGUAUAGUUUAUAAGGAUAGUGUCUAUCCCACUGACUGAGAUGAGUACAUGAGUUUAUGAGCGUAUGCAAAUAAGCUGUUAGCCCUGUGACCAUCUUCAGUACUCGUCUCUGUAAAUAUUAAUAAUCACUGCCAUUUGACAAUAUGUACCAAGCACUUUAUAUUAAAUCCUCAAAGUGUCUAAGGCAGAGUUUUCUCUUUUUACAGGUGGGGAAACUGAGUCAAGGAAAGGUUAGUCAAUGUGUCCAGAGUCACAUAACCAGUCAAUGAAGAGAAAAGAUUCAGUCCUGGAGACCUUCUAUCUCCAAGUCCUACACUCCUCCCGCUGUGUCAUGCCGCCUCUCUGUGUAGAGCUUGGCUUCUGACGCUAUGAGCACUGCCAAAAUUCUCAAACAGUUUGCUAUGUCAUAGUCAGCAAAGGCUGAGGGUGACACUGCAGCGUGGCCUUAAAGGAAGAGGCUGGAACUUAUGACUAAGGAAGUGUUGCCUGAACUCUCACCACACCCGAACUUUAUCCCCAACCCGCACCUCCAGGCUCAUACUCAGGAGAGUGGAGCAAGCCUUAGGAGCUGCCUAGAAGACACCUCGACCUGAAGUAGUGGGAGCCACCAGGGAACUCAACUAUUUGCAUCCAUUGCCUAAAGGGUCCUUUGGAAAC